AAGUCGAACGAAGGCCCGGAGCUUGCUCCGGUCACCUUAGUGGCGGACGGGUGAGUAACGCGUGGGAAUCUACCUUACGAUGGGGAAUAACAGUUGGAAACGGCUGCUAAUACCGCAUACGCCCUUUGGGGGAAAGGCUUCGGCCGUCGUUAGAGGAUCCCGCGUUCGAUUAGCUAGUUGGUAGGGUAAUGGCUUACCAAGGCUACGAUCGAUAGCUGGUCUGAGAGGGUGAUCAGCCACACUGGAACUGAGACACGGUCCAGACUCCUACGGGAGGCAGCAGUGGGGAAUAUUGGACAAUGGGGGAAACCCUGAUCCAGCGAUGCCGCGUGAGUGAAGAAGGCCCUAGGGUUGUAAAACUCUUUCACCCGUGAAGAUGAUGACGGUAGCGGGAGAAGAAGCUCCGGCUAACUCCGUGCCAGCAGCCGCGGUAAUACGGAGGGGGCUAGCGUUGCUCGGAAUUACUGGGCGUAAAGCGCGCGUAGGCGGCAAACCAAGUCAGGCGUGAAAGCCCAGGGCUUAACCCUGGAACUGCGUUUGAUACUGGUUCGCUAGAAUUCGAGAGAGGGUAGUGGAAUUUCCAGUGUAGAGGUGAAAUUCGUAGAUAUUGGAAAGAACACCGGUGGCGAAGGCGGCUACCUGGCUCAAUAUUGACGCUGAGGUGCGAAAGCGUGGGGAGCGAACGGGAUUAGAUACCCCGGUAGUCCACGCCGUAAACGAUGAGUGCUAGUUGUCGGGCAGCUUGCUGUUCGGUGACGAAGCUAACGCGUUAAGCACUCCGCCUGGGGAGUACGGCCGCAAGGUUAAGACUCAAAGGAAUUGACGGGGGCCCGCACAAGCGGUGGAGCAUGUGGUUUAAUUCGAAGCAACGCGAAGAACCUUACCAGCCCUUGACAUACCUGUCGCGAUUUC
rnacentral:rRNA from 1 species